AAAAGAACUGACAGAAGGGAACUGUAAUGCAUGACGUUUGUUAGCAAGAGUCAGGCUAACUGUAACCCUGAUAACGCGAGAUUUGUAGAAGCGAGGAUUGUGUGAGGCGGGUGAGAAAGAGCUGUGUAAGAAGUUAUGAUGACCUCAGCAUAGAUAAAGUGUAGAAGACCUUGGGUAGAUAAGGUAUAGAAAAUAAUUGUAUGUUGGCAAGAGUCAAAACAACUGAGGAAAUGAGAUAUCAAGAUGGCCUAUGUAUAAACAAAAAUGCUGCUGUCCCUCAUUAUUUUUGUAAUGAAAGGUAUAAAUGCUUGCUGUAAUUAGUUAUCAGAGAGAGACCUGUUUACCUCUCUCCCUCUGCACAUGUGAGAGUUAAUAAAACAUCUGACUUGCUAUACCUAAACAAAUAGUGAGAACUCAGUUUUUCUCCGACAAUUUGGGGGCUCGUCCGGGAUGGCAACGCCCGCAGAGGCACCGGCAGCUGCUACGGAUCGUUCCCCUUCGAACCCCAUGGCGCCACAAUAGAGGUAGGAGACCUUUUGAAAUCUCUAUUGGGGUGUCGGAGGAGGACUGUCCGUGGGGCCGUCUGCCCCUGUUGGGCUCACGCCAUCCGAACUUAUUGACUGUGCAGCAAGGUCAGAUGCUGAGCGGCGUAAUAGGGGAAUUGUUUGCCGCCCCCUGUAUGCAUAUGCUAGGUGCAUAAGGUUUGCACCUGUGUUGAGGGGUUGUUACCGCCUCAAGAGGGGUUUUUACCGCCUCAAGUGAUGCAUCGAGGUACUUGGGAAUAGUACCUGGAGGUACUCAGGAGUAGUACCUGGUAUAAGGCCUUGGUGUGUGUGUGGUCUGUGUGUGUGUGUACACCAGUGUGAAUUGAGUGUUACCGGAAGACGCCCAGAGUACUCUGCGAAGUCUUUUGGCUCGUGACCAGAACUACUCUAAUGCAAGCCCGGUAACUAGAGGAUCUUUUAGGAGAUCCGACCCACGGUGGGCUAACUCGUCCUGGCAUCGUCCGGCGAGGAGGCUACCUGGGUCUAGGAGUGUGUGAACCCAUCUUCCCUCCCCUUUUCCUCUCCGUGUGAGCCACUGACAGUCUGAUCAUCUCACUGGAUGCAACAGAGUAAGCGGCGCCGUCUCUCUGAGACUAGCCGACGCUCUUUGCUGAAGGGAGGUGUAGGAGGGUCGUGGCCAUCCUCGUUAGUCUCUCCUGUGUGAAUACCCUGUAGGGAGAGAUCCUUAGUUUAUGUGCCGCUAGCGCGGACAGGGCAUCCUCCUCCCUGUGUGUGUGAUUGGAAAAUGGGUGGGGGACAGUCUAAGGAUUCCCUCUCACCCACUAAGGGUACCCCAGCUUAUUUCAUGUACGUACAUUAUGGUACUAAAACCUGCAGGUAUUUAGAGAAUUGGAAUCAUUACACGCGUGAAAAUUCAUCUAAACAAUGCCCACUAGAAGGUACCUUCAAUCUAGAUAAGAUCAUACAUCUCAGAGGAGCUUUUAAUCAAAAAAAAGCCUCUGACACAAAUGGGAGCAAUUUGUCUAUUGAGGAAAGGAACGGGUUAAUUUGAAAUUCAGCUUGGUCCAGAGAUAAAGAGAAAGUUAAUCUGCGUUCAAGGUCAAGAAUCAAUGCAGACCAGACUAAGUAUAAAGAAAAACUGCUUUCGGCCCCAGCUGACUGUGAAAAAAUAUAGACAUAGUCAAACCAAAGGCAAUACAAGUUAAAGUGCUGAGAUUACAUUUGCAAAGCUUAACUGUCCAGUGAGAUCCAACAGUCUGCCUUUGCGACCCUGGAGCUGGCGUGGUUUGGGGAAGCUGAAGAAGCCACAGGCAGCCGGCCUGGACUGGAAUCACUGAAAAGACGCCCCAGGAGACCUCAGGGUGUAAAAGAACUGCCCUCCCAAGAGAGGAAGCAAGUUGGAGAUUGCACAGCACCUUCUCUGAACGUUAUACACAGACGUGGCCAGUCUGGACGUACGUGUGUGAGUAUGAAAGUGUGUCUACUCUCAGCCGCAGUAAGUCUGAGAACCGGAGAGGGAUUUAGCAUUCCUCUUUCCACCCCGGCUGACCGGGAAGGGUGUCAGGUGGAUCUACCCCAGUCGUAGCAGGACUGGGCAACAGAGAAGUUGGAGAAAAGGGAAGAGUUGUGUACUUGAUAACUAGAAUUGAGCAAUUAAGAGCAUAGAUCAUGAACCAGGCAGCAACUCAAACCUACGCCCAGGGCAAGUUGCAAGCCUUGAGACAGGACUUCCAGGCAGAAAAGGAAGCACUGGCUAAGCAAGUACCGGUCCUUCAGGGACUUGUCAGAAUUUAACCAUUUGUGUUUGCAUAUGCUGUAAGAGCAGUGUGUUUGCCACAAGAGAAAAUUGAAUAGUUAAAUGCCAAUGGGCAAUGCGUUUUGCCCAAGUGGCAAGCCUCACGGGGGAGGACUUGGGUAGCCUUGUGAGUAAGAAGAUAAAGAGAAGAGACCAGGAAGGGUGGGGGCUAGUUAAGAAGCCCACCCUCCUAUCUAAAUUGGUAGUGAAAAAGCUGGUGCCCAUGGAAGGGACGGUUCAGCGAGAAAAGCAGGAUCGGGCCCAAGCGGGCAGGCAAUAGAUAGAGAGAUUGGAGAACAGGUUGGAAACUUUGAGGGCAUAGUGGAAGGAAAGGAGUAAGUAAUUAUAAGCAUGGGGAUUUCAAAUCCCCAGGAUAAUAAUUGAAAUGGUAAAAUGUGUGUAAGACAGAGUCUUUGUACCAAGGUGCAAGGCUCUCCUUUCUUCUGCAGAAUAAAGCAACUCUUCCUUAUCCCUGUCUGGCUGUUAUUGGCUCUCAGCUAGGUGGACCCGAUAUUUUGGUGACAGUUAAUGGCGACUCCGGUUAAUGAAUUUCUGUCUUAUACAUUUAGGUGUUAGGUGUGUGGAUGGAACUGAGCCUCUCAUUCGUAAUUCCUCAGAGUGGAAGCCAUCGCGUGCAAUGAAGCUCUGAGGUUGAAUUGGGAUCCUUCUGUCCCGUCCCCUGUAGCGGUCAGUAUUAGUAGAAAUUCCUGUAAUAGGAUCCUAUUAGGCCAUAAUUCCCUCUGUUCUCUGUGUAAUUCUCUGUUAGAGUGUCAGCAGGCAGAUGGGUGGGUCUCUGGUAAAACUCUCUAAGGAUAGCCCUUUGGAUUAUAUGUUAAGUAAAUGGCCUUUACCCGGUGUUCAGGAAAGAAUAAAGAUUUGAAUUUGUUUUUGGGUAACAAAAUAGCAGAUAAAAGAUCUGGUAAAAAGAGAGAGAAGGACAGUGCCCCUGGCUCUGUGUGGUCGAACUGUCACUUUACUAGGGGUGCAUGGAGAUUUUGUAAGCACAAAAGAAACAGUUACACCUUGUGUAGAAAUUGAUGUGGCUAGUGUUGUGGAAAUUGAAUUGUGGAUAGGAUGUGCAUUUUCCCCAGAACAUGUGCAGUGUAUAUUGUAGCAGAGGUAAAAGAAAUGCAAACCUACCAAUAUAGGUUGUGUUGUCUUUUUCAGAUCACUGGGUGUUUGAAAGCAGGAGUUAGAAGUAAAAGGCAAUCAAAAGUCUGGGAAAGUUAAUUGUGACUUUUUACAUAAGAAUUUUUAAGCUGUGGAUAGCUUUGGAUCUGGAAGCAAGCCAGAAAGCAUCUGUAUUAAUGCAAUUUUCUAACUAAUAAGGUAGAAGCCACUGAAACCUGGGCUGCCUAUGAAACAAAUACAAAGAAAUAUGGGGUAAUUCCUCUGUUUUGUCUAAAAUCAACAAGAGUAUGUGUGUAUAUAAAGGAAAUAUUUUAAGCAAUGACUGACUACCCAGAAGGGGUAGACCUCUGUUCUUUUGUCUUUCAGAUCAUCAGAGAAAACGGAUGCCAGCUGAACAGCAUUCAAUGUACCAUGCAUUUACUGAUAAAAGAAGUGCUACCCAAAGACCCUAGCAGCCCUGCCAUUCAUUGAAACAAGGAGACUGAGUCUACGUAAAGUCUAUCAACGAAAGACUGCUUUGGCUCCACACUGGAAAGGCCCUUUCCAAGUCCUGUUAACCACCACCACCACUGUGAAGUGCCAAGGACUACCUGCCUGGACCCAUGCUUCUCACUGUAAAAAGACCCCUCCACCUCGGGAGGACUCUCCGACUGAUGAUAAGCCUAUUUCUCCUUCUAGCUCUGCUGUGUCUUCUGGACAGCAGGAAAAAGAAAGAAAGAAAAAAAAAAAAAAGACAAGGUGAAGUGCUAGUAACCUCUCCCUUGUCCACUGACAGACCUACUGUGCCUCUGGAUUUUUCUAGAAGAAGCAAAACCAUUACAGGGUGAUGUGCUAGUAACCUCUCCCCUGUAUGAUGCUAAACCACACUGUUUCAGGAAAAGAGAAGAAGGAACACUUGCUUCAUUGAAACCACAAAGUCCAGGGAUUCCUGACUACAAGAGACAUUAAGAACUGACCCUGGUGAAGAAACAAAGAAUUAUACACUGGCAGGAAGAAACUUGUGGGACCCAUGCUUGGGAAUGUGGUAUAGUACUACACCAAAAA